AAAAAUGGUUUCUGUUAUGAGAGGCACACAUAGGGCAGUUUGAUUGCUCUACAUGCAGAAUCAGCAUCAACAGAUUUCUAAAGCAUAAUAAUUUUGGUACCUGGGCAGCUAGUGAUCAUUGGUCCUGACACCUAC